rnacentral:rRNA from 1 species
UCAACAAGCGCAUCUAAAGUUUGACCCCCCGAAACUAGGCGAGCUACUCUUAAACAGCCCCAGAGCCAACCCGUCUCCGUAGCAAAGGAGUGGGAAGAUUUAAAAGUAGAGGUGACACACCUACCGAGCCUAGAGAUAGCUGGUUACUUAGAAAAAGGAUCUAAGUCCCCCUUUAAGUUUCCCCAGUCCACCUAAACACCCAACAAACUUAAAAGUCAUUCAAAUAAGGUACAGCCUAUUUGAACAAGGACACAGCCUACAACUGAGGGUAACGCCCCCCCCCGUGGCCAGGUGGGCCUAAGAGCAGCCAGCCUUCAAAAAGCGUUCAAGCUUUACCACCAACCAUUAAUAAUCCCCCCCUCAACCCGCAACCCCAAACCACUACUAAGUAACCCCAUAYUUGCUAUGGGGGAUAUUCUGCUAGAACUAGUAACAAGAAGAAGAACUUCUCCUAAAUACAAGYAUAAGCCGUAAUGAACAGCUCACCGGCACUUACCGCCAACAGCCCACAGUAGCAACACCACAAGAAAACCCUACUGCACCUGACGUCAACCUUACACCAGACUAUUAGGAAAGAUUAAAGGGGAAGA